UAGGGAAUCUUCCGCAAUGGGCGAAAGCCUGACGGAGCAACGCCGCGUGAGUGAAGAAGGUCUUCGGAUCGUAAAACUCUGUUAUUAGGGAAGAACAAAUGUGUAAGUAACUAUGCACGUCUUGACGGUACCUAAUCAGAAAGCCACGGCUAACUACGUGCCAGCAGCCGCGGUAAUACGUAGGUGGCAAGCGUUAUCCGGAAUUAUUGGGCGUAAAGCGCGCGUAGGCGGUUUUUUAAGUCUGAUGUGAAAGCCAACGGCUCAACCGUGGAGGGUCAUUGGAAACUGGAAAACUUGAGUGCAGAAGAGGAAAGUGGAAUUCCAUGUGUAGCAGUGAAAUGCGCAGAGAUAUGGAGGAACACCAGUGGCGAAGGCGACUUUCUGGUCUGUAACUGACGCUGAUGUGCGAAAGCGUGGGGAUCAAACAGG
rnacentral:rRNA from 1 species